CACUAAGAAGCUUUACAUAGCACUAGCCUUUUAAGCUAGAGAAGGGGAAGCAUCUCCCCCUCAGUGA
rnacentral:tRNA from 1 species